UUAAUAUUGUCGUCUUAAGGUUCCUUAUGCAAGAGAGGAUCAAAAAGGGGAAGUCGGUGAAAAUCCGAUGCGGUCCCGCCACUGUAAACAAGGAGUUCUCUUCAGAAAUCCGACGAUCAAAUUACGGAUGAGGGAAGAGAAUGAUGAUAUGAAGCCAGAAAGCCUGCCUUAAGUAACAUCACAAA
rnacentral:ncRNA from 2 species